GUUUGAUCAUGGCUCAGGAUGAACGCUGGCGGCGUGCUUAACACAUGCAAGUCGAACGAAGCACUUAUCUUUGAUUCUUCGGAUGAAGAGAUUUGCGACUGAGUGGCGGACGGGUGAGUAACGCGUGGGUAACCUGCCUCAUACAGGGGGAUAACAGUUAGAAAUGACUGCUAAUACCGCAUAAGACCACAGAGCCGCAUGGCUCGGUGGGAAAAACUCCGGUGGUAUGAGAUGGACCCGCGUCUGAUUAGGUAGUUGGUGGGGUAACGGCCUACCAAGCCAACGAUCAGUAGCCGACCUGAGAGGGUGACCGGCCACAUUGGGACUGAGACACGGCCCAAACUCCUACGGGAGGCAGCAGUGGGGAAUAUUGCACAAUGGGGGAAACCCUGAUGCAGCGACGCCGCGUGAGCGAAGAAGUAUUUCGGUAUGUAAAGCUCUAUCAGCAGGGAAGAAAAUGACGGUACCUGACUAAGAAGCACCGGCUAAAUACGUGCCAGCAGCCGCGGUAAUACGUAUGGUGCAAGCGUUAUCCGGAUUUACUGGGUGUAAAGGGAGCGUAGACGGCUGUGUAAGUCUGAAGUGAAAGCCCGGGGCUCAACCCCGGGACUGCUUUGGAAACUAUGCAGCUAGAG
rnacentral:rRNA from 1 species